GAUCAUUAACAUUACAUUUAUCACAAUGUUUUCGAUAAACACAAACCUUUUAACCUUGAGUAUUCAAUAAAGUUUAAUAAAAUAAAACUUUCAGCAACGGAUCUCUUGGCUCUCGCAUCGAUGAAGAACGCAGCAAACCGCGAUAUGUAGUGGACCUGCCCGUGAAACAUCAAUCUUUGAACGCACAUUGCCUUUGUAUGCGCGAAUGAGCAUUUAUCUUCUCAAACCUCUGGUUUGGCUUGUAUAACAACACUAAUAUUCCACGAUUUAUUAGUCAGCUUUAUUUCUCAUUUGCGUAAGACUACCCGCUGAACUUAAGCAUAUCAAUAAGCGGAGGAAAAGAAACCAACAGGGAUUGCCUCAGUAACGGCGAGUGAAGCGGCAAAAGCUCAAAUUUGAAAUCCGCAAGGAAUUGUAAUUUGAAGACAAUCAGUUGGCAGCGCAACAAGUUGCUUGGAACAGCACACCAUAGAGGGUGAGAGUCCCGUGUAGCAGCAGCCUUUUACUGUAUGUCGACGAGUCGAGUUGUUUGGGAAUGCAGCUCAAAGUGGGUGGUAAACUCCAUCUAAAGCUAAAUAUUGGCGAGAGACCGAUAGCGAACAAGUACAGUGAUGGAAAGAUGAAAAGCACUUUGAAAAGAGAGUGAAACAGCACGUGAAAUUGCUGGAAGGGAAGGGCUUGCAGCCAGACAGCGUUCGCGCGCCUAGCUUUGGUUUGUGUUGGUAGAUAANCCCCGUAGGAAUGUGGCUCGUUCGCGAGUGUUAUAGCCUGCGGUAAUGUGCC
rnacentral:rRNA from 1 species